rnacentral:lncRNA from 1 species
GUUAGACGCAUCUGCAUUUGAGACGCAGUAAGGAGUAAUGUAUUAAUAUAGGGGUCCCUGUGUCUGCGCUCAGAAUCUCCAUGGUCCCUCUGCAUUGCCUCUGGCCAGCUGCAUGCCUCCGGACAAAUCAUUGCUUUCCAAGUUCUCUGCAAAACAGCGACAUAAUUGGUCUUUCUGCAUGUGCUCUGAGCCCCCACGGCUUAUUGUUAACACAGCUACUAGAGUCAUCUUUCCAAAGUGACCAUAGUCAACAUGGGGGCGCCACCUGGUACCACGAGGAGCACACCAAGAAAGAGCAGCAACACUGAAGGACUGCGGGAGCCGGACGCUGGGAAUCUGCCGUCUUUCCCUGGACUGCCCACCUCGGCUCAGCUUUCACGUGAGAGAAAUAGAUUGUGUUCUCAUACUCAACUAGAUGAGAAAAAUGUCCUUCAAGCCCCUCAGACCUUGAAGAAAGUCAUCCAGAUGCACCCUCUGACGUGCACCUGCAACCACAACGGGGAGCCACGAUGUUUCAGAAAUGUAUCAGCAGCAGAGAGCAUGUUGCUAUUCCCCACACAAUUCAUUUGUGCUGUUAGAAGCAGUCCCAGAAGCAAAGACAUCGUGCAGCAGCUGUGCAGAGCUGGCUUCUCAUCACAGCUGAACGCCAACAUGGGCGAAUCAAUGAGGAAGACACCCCCACUUCUGCGGACCUACAGCCGCCAGUUCCAAAGGCACAUAAAUAUCAAGCAUCCUGCAAGAGAAGUGACAUGGCAGCAGGGAGAAUGACAGUCAAGCCCUCCGUGGCCGGGAGCACAUAGAGUCCUGCAGGUGGCUGGCUGGUCAAGCUGGGUGAGUAGAGUUGAGUGAUGUCUGCUUCUGAGCCACGUUCCAGGACACUGCAUCCGAACAAGACCCUGGCUGCAUCGUGCACAUGUUAGAGAGGCCCUGGACUAGGCUGUUGGUUCUCAACCUGGCUAUUUUAAUAAGUCCCCUAGCUAGAGGACCCGUCUGCUUGCAGCUCACAUUGGUAUGAAAGUGGAGCCACCAAUUGGAUCGGGAAUUGCCAUCUCCACCACCGACAUGGGGCCCUAGAGUCACCAGCAUCACUCACUGGUCAGCUGAAACACAACGUUAGGAAGACUGUCACAGACCUGGCUCACUGCAAGGGUGAAGGGAGGCUGAUGUGACGAGUGAGACGCUCCCUGUGGGUGAGGGGAGCAGCCCCCUGCCCCCCAUGUCCUGGGAGGUGGAUCGAAUCGUCGAGGAGGAAUCUUGAGAGGGGUGCAAUUCAGGGGGCUGAGAGUUCCAACUUUUCCUCUCCUGUUUUAGGAAGUGCUUCUGAAAUGGUCC